rnacentral:rRNA from 1 species
GGUGAGUAACACGUGGAUAACCUACCUAUAAGACUGGGAUAACUUCGGGAAACCGGAGCUAAUACCGGAUAAUAUAUUGAACCGCAUGGUUCAAUAGUGAAAGACGGUUUUGCUGUCACUUAUAGAUGGAUCCGCGCCGCAUUAGCUAGUUGGUAAGGUAACGGCUUACCAAGGCAACGAUGCGUAGCCGACCUGAGAGGGUGAUCGGCCACACUGGAACUGAGACACGGUCCAG